ACGGGCAUGAUGGAGAAGCAGGGCACGUGCAUGACCGACUCAUUGCGAUUACAAAGAACUAAAGAGACUGUGGUUGGAAACCCAGAAGUUACCAAUGUGCAUGGUUAGGGUUCUUAAUUUUCUAGGAGUUUUGCAUAUGAGUAAGUUCUUCAUGUGCCCUCCUUCCCCAUCUUGACCCC
rnacentral:pre_miRNA from 1 species